AAGCAAGGCGUCGAUUCCAGUGCAAGCCAUGAGCCAGUGACUAAAUGCUUCAGCAAACUGGAGGAUUUCCUCAACAACAAAAAGGGUCAUACACAGUGUGCUUGGGAGAUUGUGGAUGACGGAGUCAAACAAAUUUUUCAAAGACUUUCUAAACGCUACUACAGCAAAUCACAACGGAGACGAAGAUCAUUACUGCAUCAUUGAUCAAAUUGAGAAAAAAAAACUGUUGUAAAUUCAUUAAAUCACUGCAUUGUUUUUUGGGGAUAUUUAUCAAAUAAAAUAUGAAUUUAUAUGAA